rfam:Flavobacterium sp. Leaf359 contig_9, whole genome shotgun sequence.
UUUUGGCUGUAAAUGUACUGCGAAAAGGAUAGCAGCGGCAUCCUUUUGUGGAAUGUAAUGGAACAAAAGAUAGAGCGGAUAGCCUGACCCGGA